GGCGUAUAACGCGCGCAGGCGSGUUUUUAAAUUUGAUGUGAAAACCCACGGAUCUACCGUGGAGGGUCAUUGGAAACUGGGCAUCUUGAGUGCAGAAGAGAAAAGCGGAAUUUCACGUGUAGCGAGGAAAUGCGUAGAGAUGUGGAGGAACACCAGUGGCGAAGGCGGGUUUUUGGUCUGUAACUGACGCUGAGGCGCGAAAGCGUGGGGAGCAAACAGGAUUAGAUAUCCUGGUAGUACACGCCGUAAACGAUGAGUGAUAAGUGUUAGAGGGUUUCCGCCCUUUAGUGSUGCAGSUAACGCAUUAAGCACUCCSCCUGGGGAGUACGGUCGCAAGGCUGAAACUCAAAGGAAUUGRCGGGGGCCCGCACAAGCGGUGGAGCAUGUGGUUUAAUUUGAAGCAACGCGAAGAACCUUACCAGGUCUUGACAUCCUCUGACAACUUUAGAGAUAGAGCGUUCCCCUUCGGGGGACAGAGUGACAGGUGGUGCAUGGUCGUCGUCAGCUCGUGUCGUGAGAUGUUGGGUUAAGUUCCGCAACGAGCGCCACCCUUGAUCUUAGUUGCCAGCAUUUAGUUGGGCACUUUAAGGUGACUGCCGGUGACAAACCGGAGGAAGGUGGGGAUGACGUCCAAUCAUCAUGCCCCUUAUGACCUGGGCUACCCCCGUGCUACCAUGGAUGGUACAAAGGGCCGCAAGUCCGCGAGGUCAAACCAAUUCCAUAAAACCAUUCUCAGUUCGGAUUGUAGUCUGCAACUCGCGUACAUGAAGCUGGAAUCGCUAGUAAUCGCGGAUCAGCA
rnacentral:rRNA from 1 species